rnacentral:rRNA from 1 species
AUUGAACGCUGGCGGCAUGCCUUACACAUGCAAGUCGAACGGCAGCACGGGAGCAAUCCUGGUGGCGAGUGGCGAACGGGUGAGUAAUAUAUCGGAACGUGCCCAGUCGUGGGGGAUAACGCAGCGAAAGCUGUGCUAAUACCGCAUACGAUCUAUGGAUGAAAGCGGGGGAUCGCAAGACCUCGCGCGAUUGGAGCGGCCGAUAUCAGAUUAGCUAGUUGGUGAGGUAAAGGCUCACCAAGGCGACGAGCUGUAGCUGGUCUGAGAGGACGACCAGCCACACUGGAACUGAGACACGGUCCAGACUCCUACGGGAGGCAGCAGUGGGGAAUUUUGGACAAUGGGCGAAAGCCUGAUCCAGCAAUGCCGCGUGCAGGAUGAAGGCCUUCGGGUUGUAAACUGCUUUUGUACGGAACGAAACGGUGAGCUCUAAUACAGUUUGCUAAUGACGGUACCGUAAGAAUAAGCACCGGCUAACUACGUGCCAGCCGCCGCCGUAACAC